AUACCUUUCUCGGCCUUUUGGCUAAGAUCAAGUGUAGUAUCUGUUCUUAUCAGUUUAAUAUCUGAUAUGUGGGCCAUUGGUCCACACGAUAUUAAAUUACUUUUUUAAUGGGGAGAGUCCAUCACAGUAGCUUGCUAUUGGGACUCUCAUGUGUCGCCCAUGCGUUGCACUGUAGCACGGGCCUGGCACACCCUAU
rfam:Glycine soja cultivar W05 scaffold1092_20, whole genome shotgun sequence.